CCGUUUAUGUCAUUAGGCAAGAUCGGCCUGUAAUGUUCAACCGAUACACAGUUUCUGGUAAUGAAUACAUCAAUAUGGGCAUCUGAAUUUCCAAAUGUAAAAUUUAAGUUUCUCAAAAAUGGAGAUGAUGCCGCCGCCGCCGCCAGGACUUUGUCUAUUUAAAUGCUCACAAAAGCCUGACACGAUUUUUCUCAUCACAAAAGAAUGGUGUUGAUGACUGAUAAUCAUCUGUCCCAAAGUACCUAUCCCCAAACUCACCCAUCCCAGGGAUGACGCGGAAAUCAUCAUUCAGACCAAACUCGAUUUCUGAUGUCACGAUCUUCACUCUUGGAAAUCUCUUGCUGACCACAUGCACUCCUUGGGGAGCUGAUAUAAGAUUCAGAAAAAUAAUAUUUGUUUCCUGUACACCCUUUUUCAAGAGUAGAGAUAUAGCUUGAACAGCUGAAUUUCCUGUAUGGGAUCCAACAACAGCACAUGCCUGUUUGCAAUAUCUUUCGGUAAAUUAUUAAACCAAACCUGUUUGCCAUUGUCUCCUUCCCUGUGAAUAAGAAUCUUCCCAAUUUUUAUACCUUUGCAGCAUGCCCGCAAUGCAUUCUCCAUACUCUCACCACUGGAGAGAAGUUGCAGAAAAUAAUUAACAUAACAACGAAUGGUCACAGUGCAAUACUACCUACCAGUUGGAGUUAUGACCUGCUUUUCCUUGAAUGGAAGAUGACCAAGACCAUGCUCAACAACCAAUCGAAUCAACCGAUCAGCAUAGAAUAUGAAAUCAUGUGUUGUUGUGGCAGCAUCCCGUAUUAUUGUGUGCAUACCUCUACCUGAUAAGUAGUCUGAAUGACAUACAAAUUGGGGUGUACUUUACAGAGAUCAUGUUGACCAAGCUUAGUACGAAUAUGCUGAACUAUUAAGUCAAUUGCAACAUCAUUAUCGCCACCUCGUGGGAUGAUAAUAUCAGCAUACUUCUUGGUUGGGAGGAUGAAGUCUUCAAAAGCAGGCUUAACAAACUUUGAGUACUGUAAAACAUAAUUUUGAUAUCUCUACCCUUCUCAAUGGUGUCACGUCGAAUCCUCCUUGUUAAUCGCACAUCAGCAUCUGUGUCAACAAAGAUCUUCAUGUUCAUCAAAUCCCGGACACGUGAAUCAUGGAAAACCAGAAUUCCUUCCAAAAUAAUUACAUCUGAAGGAUUUACCUUUCUUGCACUUGCAACACUCUUAUAUGUUUUGAAGUUGUAAUUAGGAAUGUCCACAGCCUUGCCAUGUUUCAAGUUCUCCAUACAAGAGAGUAGUAACUCCGAAUAUGCAUCAUACCUGGAUGAUCAAAGUUAUAAUCAUGAACAUGGACCAAUUCCUCAUCAGACAACCCAUAAUAAAAAGACUCCUGAGUAACAACAACUACACGCUGAUCACGUAGCUGAUCGAUUAUCAUUUUGCAUACAGUACUUUUGCCUGAAGAUGCACCCCCGGCAACACCAAUGACAAAUGGCUCCUGGUGCCCAUUCUCCACCCCUGAGGUCGUUGGUUGUUCCUCCCCUGUCAUGGAGCCAUUGAUGUUAAGCUCAUCCAAACGGAGCGUGGAGUAGUGGACCCCAGCCGCGGCAGCAUCAAGAACCUCAUCAACUGGUCUUGAACCCAUAUAUUGUU
rnacentral:sRNA from 1 species